AUCCAUCUGACAAGUCCCAAAUAGAACGAAACGUGCGUUUUAGAU
rnacentral:hammerhead_ribozyme from 1 species